GGCCAAUCAGCGUUAUUUCUAAUGCGCAGCUCAGCUGCUGGAGCCAGGCUCUGGAUGUUUUCUGAUUAGGAGGAAUCUGUGGGAUCCUGGAGAUGUGAGAGGAGGAUCUGCUCCGGUCUGGGUUUAACGGUUAAAGCAGGGGCCCAGCAUUCAUCCAGCUCAGAGACCGGGGAGCCGCUGCUGCUGCUGCUCAGGACGAUGGAGAGCUAGCUGCCAUCGGAGGGCUAACAGUCUGAGCUUUAUCUGGACCCGCUGCUCUGGUUCCGAGCUGAUAAUCCACCAGGAGCCGCUCAGACACUCCCUCCGCCGGGUCGCAUCCCUCCAGGUGCAGCAGCUGGACCGACCUCAGCCUGGAUCCUCUGCUGCUGUGGUCCAGGAGGGCCCACCAGCCUCAAAGACAGCAUGAUCAUCAUCCCAGCUUUGAAGACGGGGAUUAAAGGACCUCUGCAAAGCCCAAGUUAAAGGGAUUUCCAUUUUUCCAGGACUCAUCUGUUGGCAGAUGAACUUUUCUCACAGGGGAAACUUUAAAAGAAGCUUACUUGUAGAGGAACCAGCAGACAGAAGAACCUGGAGAGGAAAGAAAUAAGGAAAUCAGGAAAUAAGGAAGAGCUCUGAUAUCUGGAUCUCACAGGGACCCUCAUCCAUCCCAGCCUGGUUCUGUUAGUGCUGCCUGAAAUGAGAUAAUUACCCUGCUAAUGCUGCAGAUCCUCACUGAGAGCAACGACUUAGCAGCAGCAGCAGCACGCGCAUGGAUGCUAAUGGAUGGUCUGCUGGAGUCGGCUCUGAGUGUUUUGGAAAUCCAGCCGUUUCCUCUUGUUUGCCUGCCAAUCAGCUCGGGGAUGUAGCUGGCAGGUGGGGGGGUUUAAGUUGGCCACUGCGGGGGUUUGGGGAUGCCCCGACACAGGCCUGCUAACAGACUGCUUGGCGCAGUAAACCGGGGUUACCCACGCUGUUUACAUCUUUUUAUCUAUUUCUUUUUGUAAGAGUUUGUUUAUUUGGCAUAAAAUAUCCGUUUUUAAGCAAAGUGAAUGCGGAUGGCUAAGCUAGUCCAUCCAGUCUGAAGGAGGAUCCAGAUAAAGGAGACCAGUCAGCCUCAAAGCAUUCCUCUGUUUGUCCAUCCUCUGGUUCUCGGUCCCAGGACAGCUCUACCUCUGCCUCCAUGCCUCCAUCUAUUCUCUAUAUAUCUACAGACCGAUCCAGCUGAGGGAACCGUCGCUAUAGAGCUGCUGAUGACCAAAAUACUUCGAGUUCCUCUGAAUGAGAAAGCUUCUUAUUGCUGUCGAACAGUUUGCUGAUCCUCUCAUCAAACUUGCAGACUAACCUCUUUGACGCCCUUUU